UUUAUUGGAGAGUUUGAUCCUGGCUCAGGAUGAACGCUGGCGGCGUGCCUAAUACAUGCAAGUCGAGCGAAUGGAUUAAGAGCUUGCUCUUAUGAAGUUAGCGGCGGACGGGUGAGUAACACGUGGGUAACCUGCCCAUAAGACUGGGAUAACUCCGGGAAACCGGGGCUAAUACCGGAUAACAUUUUGAACCGCAUGGUUCGAAAUUGAAAGGCGGCUUCGG
rnacentral:rRNA from 2 species